rnacentral:rRNA from 1 species
AUUGAACGCUGGCGGCAGGCCUAACACAUGCCAGUCGAGCGAGCGGCGGACGGGUGAGUAAUGUAUGGGGACUGCCCGAUAGAGGGGGAUAACUACUAGAAACGGUAGCUAAUACCGCAUACUAUCGGAUAACCCAUAUGGGAUUAGCUAGUAGGUGAGGUAAUGGCUUACCUAGGCGACGAUCCCUAGCUGGUCUGAGCGGAUGAUCAGCUACACUGGGACGUAGACACGGCCCAGACUCCUACGGAGGCAGCAGGGGGGAAUAGUGCACAAUGGGCGCAAGCCUUAUGCAGCCAUGCCGCGUGUAUGAAGAAGGCCCUAGGGUUGUAAAGUACGUUCAGUCGGGAGGCGUUACCGACAGAAGAAGCACCGGCUAACUCCGUGCCAGCAGCGGCGGUAAUUC